rnacentral:rRNA from 1 species
CAAGUCGUGGGGCAGCAGGGGUAGCAAUACCCGCUGGCGACCGGCAAACGGGUGAGGAGCAUGUACGCAACCUUCCUUUAAUUGGAGAAUAGCCCCUCGAAAGAGGGAUUAAUACUCCGUAACAUGAUGAAGUGGCAUCACUUUAUUAUUAUAGCUCCGGCGGUUAAAGAUGGGCGUGCACCUGAUUAGAUAGUUGGCGGGGUAAUGGCCCACCAAGUCUACGAUCAGUAACUGGUGUGAGAGCACGACCAGUCACACGGGCACUGAGACACGGGUCCGACUCCUACGGGAGGCAGCAGUAAGGAAUAUUGGUCAAUGGACGCAAGUCUGAACCAGCCAUGCCGCGUGGAGGAUUAAGGCCCUCUGGGUUGUAAACUCCUUUUAUCUGGGAAGAAAUGUACUUUUUCUUGAGUACUUGACGGUACCAGAGGAAUAAGCACCGGCUAACUCCGUGCCAGCAGCCGCGGUAAUACGGAGGGUGCAAGCGUUAUCCGGAUUCACUGGGUUUAAAGGGUGCGUAGGUGGGCAGGUAAGUCAGUGGUGAAAUCUCCGAGCUUAACUCGGAAACUGCCGUUGAUACUAUUUGUCUUGAAUAUUGUGGAGGUAAGCGGAAUAUGUCAUGUAGCGGUGAAAUGCUUAGGUAUGACAUAGAACACCAAUUGCGAAGGCAGCUUACUACGCAACGAUUGACGCUGAGGCACGAAAGCGUGGGGAUCAAACAGGAUUAGAUACCCUGGUAGUCCACGCCCUAAACGAUGAUUACUCGACAUACGCGAUACACUGUGUGUGUCUGAGCGAAAGCAUUAAGUAAUCCACCUGGGAAGUACGUUCGCAAGAAUGAAACUCAAAGGAAUUGACGGGGGUCCGCACAAGCGGUGGA